GAAAUGCGAUACGUAGUGUGAAUUGCAGAAUUCAGUGAAUCAUCGAAUCUUUGAACGCACAUUGCGCCCUUUGGUAUUCCAAAGGGCAUGCCUGUUCGAGCGUCAUUUGUACCCUCAAGCUUUUGCUUGGUGUUGGGCGUGUUUGUCUUGCAAAAGACUCGCCUUAAAACGAUUGGCAGCCGGCCUACUGGUUUCGGAGCGCAGCACAUUUUUGCGCUUGCAACCAGCAAAAGAGGACGGCAAUCCAUCAAGUACAUUUCUCACUUUUGACCUCGGAUCAGGUAGGGAUACCCGCUGAACUUAAGC
rnacentral:misc_RNA from 1 species